GGGCUUUGCUGGACACUUCUUAAUGUUUCCCUACUGAGAUGUCUUCUGAUCUAUUUUUGAUGAGGUGGCCAGACAGGAUGGGAUCUGUAUCAGCAUUUGGAUAUCCCAGGUGCAGCCAUGAUCACUUGGAGCUUCUGUUGAAUUCAAUCAGAGCCUCAGAAGGGACGGAACAGUAAUCCAUCUGCACACCAGUUCCAGUCUAUCUUCCACCGUCUGAUGGUUCAGUGUCAGUCAGACAACGUGGUGGUACAGGAUGACACUGUGUUCAUCUCUGCAGUGGACAUGUCCUCCGUCAUUUGCAACAUUUCAGCCAUUGUUUGUGAUUGGCAUCAAGGAACAUGCUCAGGGAACUCAUUGAGGAGACACAGUCGCAUUGACACAACCAUCAUUCAAACCUGUUGUCAUUGGUUGUGUCCGUGCUCCUCAAAACAAGGGUUCACCACAUCAACAAACUCAUCAAUCUUACAUUGCAGAGUGGCUGUACAAGAAAAUAUGCUAUUCAAAACUGUCCUCUUUCAAUGGCUUUAGCUCAAACCCUUUCAUCAAGGAACAGAUAAGAUAGGUUAGAUACGAUACUAUAUUAGAUGAGAUUAGAUUACAUAAAAUUAAUAAUAUUGAUUAGAUAACAUAAAAUAAGAAAGAUGCAAGAGGAAGCCAUUGUCAGUGAGAGGCUCUUUCUAUGUCUGCAGGACUGCUGUGCCAAAAUUGUGCAUAUGUUUCCAGAGACAGCGAUGAAAGCUGCAUCCAACUACAGCUCUCCUGGAGUUAUAGUGAUUCAACUGCAAUGUUACACUGCAAAUACGGGAUGGGAGGCUCCUGAUUGAUUGACUUUCUAUUUGACUUAGACGUUGAUUGACUUUGAUUAAAAAGGUGCAUUUAACUGUGUGUCUUCCUUCAUGAAACCUGCUAGAUGCUGUAUUCUGUAAGAGGACGGAUCAUGGCAAGUACCACUACACAAUUAUGGUGAGUACACGACAUACAUUUAAUAAUAAUAACUUUAUUUGUACCUUUCAUACAAGCAAUUGAUCUCAACGCAUUGAAAAUGGCAUAAAAUACAUAAAAAUUAAGUAAAAAAUAGAAUGAUUAAAAAUGAAAUUUAUUUAUGGUUUACAGUGUGUAAGAAUACAUUUAUGGACGGUUAUGGAAACAAUUUUUUCUUACUUAAGCUGAUUGUCAAUUUGCCUCUUGAUUCCUUAUGGGCAUGUCAUGCAUACUGUGUUGUUUAUUAUCUUUUUUUCUUCGUUUGGAAGACUGUCGGCAGUAUUUUCCUCGUGUUUGCUGGUACUCACCGAAUCCCCUCUAUGGUUUAUAUC